rnacentral:tRNA from 1 species
GCGCCCGUAGCUCAAUUGGAUAGAGCAUCUGACUACGGAUCAGAAGGUUCGGGGUUCGAAUCCCUGCGGGCGUA